GGCCCCUUAGCUCAGUGGAUAGAGCGUCGACCUUCUAAGUCGAAUGUCGCAGGUUCGAAUCCUGCAGGGGUCGCCA
rnacentral:tRNA from 1 species